AACGAACGCUGGCGGCGUGCCUAACACAUGCAAGUCGAACGUGAUUGAGAGCUUGCUCUCAUGAAAGUGGCGCACGGGUGAGUAACGCGUAGAUAAUCUACCUGAUGAUCCGGGAUAACACUUCGAAAGGGUGCUAAUACCUGAUAAGCUCACGGAGUCCUCGGACUCUGCGGGAAAAGGGGGGACCGUUAGGCCGUUCCGUCAUCAGAUGAGUCUGCGUACCAUUAGCUAGUUGGUAGGGUAAAGGGCCUACCAAGGCGACGAUGGUUAGCUGGUCUGAGAGGAUGAUCAGCCACACUGGAACUGAGACACGGUCCAGACUCCUACGGGAGGCAG
rnacentral:rRNA from 1 species